rfam:Ictidomys tridecemlineatus contig024913, whole genome shotgun sequence.
GGGGUUGUGGCUCAAUGGUAGGGCACAUGCCUCACAUGCCUGAGGCACUGGGUUCGAUCCUCAGCAUCACAU